GCCCAGACUCCUACGGGAGGCAGCAGUGGGGGAUAUUGCACAAUGGAGGAAACUCUGAUGCAGCGACGCCGCGUGAGGGAAGACGGUCUUCGGAUUGUAAACCUCUGUCUUUGGGGAAGAAAAUGACGGUACCCAAAGAGGAAGCUCCGGCUAACUACGUGCCAGCAGCCGCGGUAAUACGUAUGGAGCAAGCGUUAUCCGGAUUUACUGGGUGUAAAGGGAGCGCAGGCGGUAUGGCAAGUCUGAUGUGAAAACCCGGGGCUCAACCCCGGGACUGCAUUGGAAACUGCCGAACUAGAGUGUCGGAGAGGCAAGUGGAAUUCCAAGUGUAGCGGUGAAGUGCGUAGAUAUUAGGAGGAACACCAGUGGCGAAGGCGGCUUGCUGGACGAUGACUGACGUUGAGGCUCGAAAGCGUGGGGAGCAAACAGGAUUAGAUACCCCAGUAA
rnacentral:rRNA from 1 species